rnacentral:lncRNA from 1 species
CAGGAAGGAAAGGGGACAAGGAGCAUAAGUGCUCUGUUUGUGUCUAUAGUAUCUUCUCUGACACAAUGAAGACAAUCAAUAGAGCAGAUAAACAGAAUAAAAUGUUUGCACUCUCCCACUGAUGUCUCACAUCUUGACCUAUAACAUGCAGAGAGAACUAUUUCCAUAUUUAUUUAUCCACAAAAGUGGUCAUUGCCAAAAGACAGAAUUUAUUCAAUCCAAACACUCUCAGCAUCCAGAUUGUUAUUAAGAUAACCAGUCGAUACUGUCUUUUAUUUCUUUUCACUCCAUUCCUUCAGUGCAAAAGCCUUACCUAAUUCAUCUCGAAGUAUUUAGCUCUGUAUGUAUUUUUGAUAGACAUAAAGAGCUGGCACACAUUGUACACUUCAAACAGCAGAAGAGGGAGACAGACAUGCAUUCAAAUCACUCUAAUUUACCAGCUGUGUGAAUUUGGCCAACUUAGUAACCUUCACCUGCCUCAGUUUCUUUAACUGUAAAAUGGGUGGCAAUGUCUACCGUUCAGAUUGUCAUAAGAGUUAAAGAUUGUACACACAUACACACACACACACACACACCAUAUAGUAAAAUGCUCUCUAAAUAUCCAUUAUUAUCACUUCUACAUCCUUGGCAAAGCCUCGUGUGUGUGUGUGCGCUCAUAUCUGCCUGCUUCUCUGUUCAUUUUUUUUUCCUUCAAAACCUGAGACCCCAAGGAAAAUUUCUGGCAUGUAAAACUGAUCAAUAACAACAGUUCUGAAGACCCAGAGAAUUAGCUUAAUUUCUCAUUGAACUUUAAAUAAAUUUGUCACCUUCUUUUCUCAGAAGUCUUUGACUGCAGGAGCCUUCCCUGUUGUUCCCUGAUGGAUUUUCAUCUUGGCAGUUUCAGGACUGUCCUCAGAUCUUCAGCAUGAUCCCAGUGUGCUCUCAUUACAGCCAGUCCAAGCCAAGGCAGAAGCAUCGUUUCUGAACAUCUGCCCUCAAUUACCAAGAGGAUGCCCUGCCACCUACUCUUGGGAAAGUCCUUCCUUUCUCAGUUGGUUUGCCUCACUACUCUCAACCCCGCAUUAUGGGAUUCCCUGUUCCCACCAUGUUUCAAAGACCAUUCCAAGAGAAGUAGAACCACAAGACUUGUAAAGAAUUUAUUGGUCCUUUCUGCCCCAGUUAGUUGGAAAAAAUCUAUAUUUGCUGCUGUAUAAAACUAUUCUGAGGCAUCCUGCAUUUCAGCCUUGUCUUUGAACCACUUCUGCUGAAAUAAUACUUUUCCUUGGUUAUUUUAUUGUAAUUUUAUAGUGUAGAACGCUUCCUCUGAUUAUACCAAAGCCUCGUGCAGAGUGAAGUAUAGCACCUCUCUUGCAUGAUGAGAUGGAAAUUGUUAUCCUUGCCCCCAUGACACCAGAGUAAAAUGGGAAACUGCACUUGUCUAAUCAUGAGAGUACAGACCAUAGAAGAGGAGGAUAGAAUUGUUUCCUUUUUAGGGGGUUUAAUUAAAAUCAUUACUUAAAAAUAAGCAUCGUGACGACAUCAUGAUUGAGCUAUUUUCAAAGGGUGGAACACCUAUGAGAAUUCCCGGUUCCAUGAGAAAGCAUCUCUUGGUUUAUGCAUGUAUGUUUGCUGAUUUCAAAACAUUAAAAAGAAAUCUGUCAGUCU